ensembl:lncRNA
CUGGCUGUUCUGUCUGUGAUGUUGCAUCAGCAUCACUUCAUUAAAUAGUUAGAGGGUCUCUAGCUUUCAGCGGAAGUUGAGGGAGUGGAAGCAUCUCUUGUUGGCUGAGAUCUCUUCAAUGCCCUGUCAAUCAAGUCCUCAUCUUGCCAUCCCUUUCGCCAGUACAGUAAAAGAACCACUGAGCCUGGGUUUGGCUCUUGACUCUUCUGCAGCCAAGGAAAGCCUGGGUUGACUUCCACCACUCUGUGUUUCAAAGAGAAGACUUUUCAUGACUAGGAAACCUUUGAAGAAUUAUUUUGUGUUAGAUUUGUUUUUUUUCCUCAUGGUCACUCUGACUUUGUAAAAGUUUGAGAUGUUUAUCAUGCGCAUCACAUGCCCUUACGCAGUCCUUGUCUGUGAAAGAAAGCUUAACUAACUGUAAUUUAGGUGUGUUAAUGCAGGCUAGACCAUGUACAGAACCAUUAUAUAACCACUGGCCUUUCUGUAAACCUUUACUGAAGUAAUCAAUCACUUUGUAAUAAUUGCAGUAUGUGUACCUUUGUGUGUCUCUAAAGCUGCAUUUAAACAGGAAGCCCAAUUCUGAUAUUUUUGUCACUAAUUGGUAUUUUGAGCUGAUGUGAAAAAGUUCCGAAUUGGGCUGCCUGUCUAGCGCAGCCUAUAUGAAGUGUCCGUUUAACUCAUAGGACCAGAUCGAUCACUGAUGUUCACAACAGAGAAAAUAAGCUCUCGGUUUCAUUGAACUCUGGAAAGCAACUGAUUGCUCGCUCUAAACAACUGUAAUUGGUCUAACGUAAUCUUCAAGGACAAUCUUCUCUAGUCACUCCAUGUCUGUGCUUGAACUAGUGGUGCAGUUUCUAUCUCCCAGGAGAGGACAGUCAACUUCAGCUUCACAGCAGCUCAUCACACAGUAUGAGACCUGGAUCUAUGAAGGCGAUAAGAAGCAUUACUUCUGAGUCAGAUCAUCACCAUGACAACCAGAGACGCAGCCAGGCUCCCAGAUCUGAAGCUGAGUGAAAACGCUCUUCGGGCUACUCUGUGGAGCUGAUGGGAGAAUGUCAAACAUCCCCUACAUGGAGCUACUGUACUGUAAGCUGAGCUGUGAGAGGAACACUACACUAGCUUCAAGUGUUC